GGUUUCCGGCAACGGCUUUUCUCUGAACUCCGCCAGAUCCGGAAGGAAGCAACGGUAGGAAAAACUGUCGGGUGCACGGA
rnacentral:SRP_RNA from 1 species